rnacentral:rRNA from 1 species
GCCUACGGGGGGCAGCAGUAGGGAAUCUUCCACAAUGGGCGAAAGCCUGAUGGAGCAACGCCGCAUGGGUGAAGAAGGUCUUCGGAUUGUAAAACCCUGUUGUUAGAGAAGAAAGUGCGUGAGAGUAACUGUUCACGUUUCGACGGUAUCUAACCAGGAAGCCACGGCUAACUACGUGCCAGCAGCCGCGGUAAUACGUAGGUGGCAAGCGUUAUCCGGAUUUAUUGGGCGUAAAGGGAACGCAGGCGGUCUUUUAAGUCUGAUGUGAAAGCCUUCGGCUUAACCGGAGUAGUGCAUUGGAAAUU